rnacentral:rRNA from 1 species
GACGAAAGUCUCUGCUUUUAACUAGAUAGCAACUUUCAGCAGUGGAUGUCUAGGCUCGCACAUCGAUGAAGAACGCUGCGAACUGCGAUACGUAAUGCGAAUUGCAGGAUUCAGUGAGUCAUCGAAAUUUUGAACGCAUAUUGCACUUCCGGGUUAGUCCUGGAAGUAUGCCUGUAUCAGUGUCCGUACAACAAACUUGGCUUUCUUCCUUCCGUGUAGUCGGUGGAGGAGAUGCCAGAUGUGAAGUGUCUUGCGGUUGGUUUUCGGACCGACUGCGAGUCCUUUUAAAUGUACUAAACUGUACUUCUCUUUGCUCCAAAAGUGGUGGCAUUGCUGGUUGUGGACGCUGCUAUUGUAGCGAGUUGGCGACCGGUUUGUCUGCUGCGGCGUUAAUGGAGAAAUGCUCGAUUCGUGGUAUGGUUGGCUUCGGCUGAACAAUGCGCUUAUUGGGUGAUUUUCCUGCUGUGGCGUGAUGGACUGGUGAACCAUGGCUCUUUAGCUUGGCAUUUGAAUCGGCUUUGCUGUUGCGAAGUAAAGUGGCGGCUUCGGCUGCCGAGGGUCGAUCCAUUUGGGAAAUGUUGUGUACUUCGGUAUGCAUCUCAAUGGACCUGAUAUCAGGCAAGAUUACCCGCUGA